rnacentral:rRNA from 1 species
GACGAACGCUGGCGGCGUGCUUAACACAUGCAAGUCGAACGGAAAGGCCCUGCUUGCAGGGUACUCGAGUGGCGAACGGGUGAGUAACACGUGGGUGAUCUGCCCUGCACUUCGGGAUAAGCCUGGGAAACUGGGUCUAAUACCGGAUAGGAGCCAUUUUUAGUGUGAUGGUUGGAAAGUUUUUUCGGUGUAGGAUGAGCUUGCGGCCUAUCAGCUUGUUGGUGGGGUAAUGGCCUACCAAGGCGGCGACGGGUAGCCGGCCUGCGAGGGUGGACGGCCACAUUGGGACUGGGAUACGGCCCAGACGCCUACGGGAGGCAGGAGGGGGGAAGAUUGGACAAUGGGCGCGAGCCUGAUGCAGCGACGCCGCGUGGGGGAUGACGGCCUUCGGGUUGUAAACUCCUUUCGCUAGGGACGAAGCUGUUUGUGACGGUACCUAGAUAAGAAGCACCGGCUAACUACGUG